AUCCUCCCAAGGCAUCUAAAAACUAUGCAUAUUUUCAGCUGUUGCAGUGCAAGUUACUCACUUGUUCUAAGUCACUGAGGUAAAACUGCUUUACUGCCAAGAAAUGUCAGGUGAUAAAAACUCCUUGCAAAGAGACCUCAAUAUGUAAAGUGCUUGGGGACCCGAGACCAAUCCCCAGCAUUCAGGAAAAACACUGGACACAAUUAGGUAUGUGUAUAAUCCCAGCACUGAAGAAGAGACCUGUGAGUCUCUAGGGCUCACUGGCCAUCCAGCCUAAGCUAAUUGGUACAUGUUAGGUCCCAGUGAGAGACCCUGUCUCAAAAAACAAUGCCAACAGUUCCUGAGGAGCACUACCAGAGGGUUAGCCUUCACAUACACACGCACACCAAAGACUUGUUGACCAGACUCUUGCAAGACUUCUAUCGAGUUGAGGCAUGUCCCUGGGCUGGCCCUAAACAAUGGCUUAAAAUGCCUCCCUGAAAAGCCUCAAUGCUGCCAGGAAAAUUGACUGUUUAUUCCAGUCAGAGGCACCAGAACAUCCUUAUAGUCGCCAAGCGAUUACUUGAGAAAUGGAGAUAUAGCUCAACACAUCCGGUUUUCCGAGACUCUGGGUCUCCAACAGAUGCACACACAAACACACAAACACACACACACACACACACACACACACACACACACACACACACCAGCUUUCUCUAAUCAUUUUUUUUUAUUAAAAUCUAACACUGCAAGCUGUCUCCUCCAGAACAUGAACACUGUCUCAGACUUCAAUUAAAGGCAUGUCCCACCACUGCCCAGCUGAUUUGGGAUUUUCUACACAGAGGAUUUCUACAAAAAGCCAGGGCUGGCCUUGAACUCUGAUCUUCUUGAAAUGGGGACCCUUAAAACAAAGGAUCUGAAGCUACUUCUCCAGAUUCCUACAAUGGUCUCAUGCUGAGAGCAAAAGCUGCCCCCAAACUCCUGAAGCCUGGAACCAGAAAACUCACUAUAUAGACCAAGCUGGCUCAAAAUCACAGAUAUCUGCCUGUCUCUGCCUUCUGAGCGCUGGGAUUACAGGGUUUCUCUGUGUAGCCUAUCCUGGCAUUCGCUCUGUAGACCAGGCUGGCCCUGAACUCACAGAGAUCUGCCUGCCUCUGCCUCCCAAGUGCUGGGACUAAAGGCAUGAGCCACCAACGCCUGGCUCUUAAAUUACUUUCAACUCUGCUAAUAGCUUAGUAGCAAACCACAAACGAAUCCGUUUUUCCAUUUUAUAUGUCUUCUCUUAAACCUGUGAUAUGGAAUCCAUAUCAAGUGAUGGAAUCCAGUCAAGACUCCAUGGUUCAUCAGGACCGAUAAUGCUCCCAAACCAGCCUCUCCCUCAAGUGCCACUGAUGCACUCAGUGAGUGGAGCCUGUCUCCCAUCUCUGAUCAGGUUCUCAUCUUGCUCACAGUGAACUGAGUGGGCAGACAGCUGAGAGAUAACAAGGGUAACUGUUUGUCACUAGACAAAAGCAAUUUGAAUUGGAAAAUAAGAACUCUGCAACCCUUGCUCCUGCCAACCAAAAGAGAUUGGUAGUGCUCCAGUUCUGAGUCCUCAAGCAAGCUUUGUGGUGCCUUGCUGAGAAGUGCCAACAGAAAGAUUGCCAGUGUUCCUGUUGGGAAGCUCUUGGAGGACUCUUGGAGUGCCAGCCAACAGCAGUACAUGGCAGAGCACGUCUGUGGGUCACUGUCAGAAGGAGCAGAAGCGAAGGUCUCAUGUUUUCAGCAGGUCUUGAAGCCUCUGUUGGUUAAGGCAGGAAUGAGUCACCUUGCUUGUGGUCAGUUGGGUUCUGGAGGCUGGCUCCCUCAGGACAGUAUGUUCCUUGAGUCCAUCUCUGAGGAGUCUUGAAGGUCAGCCUGGUGAAUCCAGUCCCCAGGCCUGAGCUACGGAGUUGAGACACUCUCAAGACAAAAGUAAACUAAAAAGGAGCAGGGGCAGGGCAAGAGGAAACUUUCUAAUUUGUUUGUAGAGAUUUUUCCCUGUCGUUCUUUUACAGUUGUUGUACUUCACUCAUUGUGGUUUUAUUAAACCAAUAUUCUGUGUAUUCAACGUUUUAGAAUAGUUUCUAGCAUGUGCAAUUAUGCUGCAACCAAAUACUUUUGGGAAUACGUGUAUCCAUAUUGUUAGAGAUAUAUCUUCAGGGUAAAUGGCAUGGGCUGCCAGUCACAGGCUGUAUGCAUAUGUAGAUUUGCUAAGAUAUUGCCAAACUGUUCUCAACCAGAGUUACACAUUUUUGUGUUCCUUCCAAAACUCUGUGCGAGCGCUUGUUUUUCCAUAACCGUGCCAACUGAGUCUGCUGUCAAGCUCCUGGGUCCCUGCCAAUCAGAUAGGCCAGGCUAUUUUUAAUUCUUCAUGCAAACUUAGCCCCAGCAAAUCCUGCAGGUAAC
ensembl:lncRNA